AUUGGCUUGGCAGAAAAUAAUGCAAUUGAUUUAGGAUCAAUAGAUAAUAUCUAGUA
rnacentral:tRNA from 1 species